rnacentral:rRNA from 1 species
CCUACGGGAGGCAGCAGUGGGGAAUAUUGCACAAUGGGGGAAACCCUGAUCCAGCGACGCCGCGUGAGUGAAGAAGUAUCUCGGUACGUAAAGCUCUAUCAGCAGGGAAGAAAAUGACGGUACCUGACUAAGAAGCCCCGGCUAACUACGUGCCAGCAGCCGCGGUAAUACGUAGGGGGCAAGCGUUAUCCGGAUUUACUGGGUGUAAAGGGAGCGUAGACGGCGGCGCAAGUCUGGAGUGAAAGCCCGGGGCCUAACCCCGGAACUGCUUUGGAAACUGUUCGGCUGGAGUGCAGGAGGGGUAAGCGGAAUUCCUAGUGUAGCGGUGAAAUGCGUAGAUAUUAGGAGGAACACCGGUGGCGAAGGCGGCUUACUGGACUGUAACUGACGUUGAGGCUCGAAAGCGUGGGGAGCAAACAGGAUUAGAUACCCCAGUAGUC